rnacentral:rRNA from 1 species
UACAGACUCCUACGGGAGGCAGCAGUGGGGAAUAUUGGGCAAUGGGCGCAAGCCUGACCCAGCAACGCCGCGUGAAGGAAGAAGGCUUUCGGGUUGUAAACUUCUUUUAAGAGGGAAGAGUAGAAGACGGCACCUCAUGAAUAAGCCACGGCUAACUACGUGCCAGCAGCCGCGGUAAUACGUAGGUGGCAAGCGUUAUCCGGAUUUACUGGGUGUAAAGGGCGUGUAGGCGGGACUGCAAGUCAGAUGUGAAAAUUAUGGGCUCAACCCAUGACCUGCAUUUGAAACUGUAGUUCUUGAGUGAUGAAGAGGCAGGCGGAAUUCCGUGUGUAGCGGUGAAAUGCGUAGAUAUACGGAGGAACACCAGUGGCGAAGGCGGCCUGCUGGACAUUAGCUGACGCUGAGGCGCGAAAGCGUGGGGAGCAAGCAGGAUUAGAUACCCUAGUAC